AGACCUUUUAGGUUAGGCUCCUCUCCUUUCUGUUGCCCUUCCUAAUUUGACUUCAUCCCUUGUUUUACCCAGGUGAGGACAUGCUCUUGGUUAACUGUCAGUGUCAUGGGUUUUUCCUAGUUCUUGUGACAUCUCUGGACUACAGCAGGCUGCCCCCUCUGGCGCCACCAUCUCUGUGCUCUGGUUUCUGGAAGCCUCCUUGACCCGCCCCUUACAUAUCCUGGGGGGAGUGUUCCAUCAGGGGUCCCAGGUGGCUUGUUGACGCCACCUUUGCCCCUGACCCCCACUUCGCUUUCACUCCCCAGGUGUCUCUGCUUUCAGGCCACACCCCACCCCCA
rnacentral:lncRNA from 1 species